GAAGUACUCUAUUGUCAAGAGUCACUCUGAAGGGAUAUAGGUAUAAGUGUCCCUCCGACCUGAGAUCAUCAUGAUGACUUGCAAGUAACUCACUAUGCUUUGGUGCCAGACUACCUGAAUUUUUAAUUCAGCGAUGAAAGAUUUUUGGGCAUAGUCAAGUACUUGUAAAGUCGAUGUAUGAGUCAAGAUGGAAUUGACCCCUCUGCAUAAGUAGGAGUUAAUAUAUCAGUGUAUUUCAAUUCAGUAAAACCUUGAUCG
rnacentral:lncRNA from 1 species